rnacentral:rRNA from 1 species
UAGUCCACGCCGUAAACGAUGAUUACUCGCUGUAGGCGGUACACAGUCUGUGGCUAAGCGAAAGUUUUAAGUAAUCCACCUGGGGAGUACGAUCGCAAGAUUGAAACUCAAAGGAAUUGACGGGGGCCCGCACAAGCGGAGGAACAUGUGGUUUAAUUCGAUGAUACGCGAGGAACCUUACCUGGACUUAAAUGUGCGUUGCAUAGAUCAGAGAUGGUCUUUUCUUCGGACUACGUACAAGGUGCUGCAUGGUUGUCGUCAGCUCGUGCCGUGAGGUGUCGGGUUAAGUCCCAUAACGAGCGCAACCCUUAUCCCUAGUUGCCAGCGGGUCAUGCCGGGGACUCUGAGGAGACUGCCACCGUAAGGUGUGAGGAAGGUGGGACGACGUCAAGUCAUCAUGGCCCUUAUGGGUAGGGCUACACACGUGCUACAAUGGGCAGUACAGAGGGUUGCGAAGCCGCGAGGUGGAGCUAAUCUCAGAAAACUGUUCGUAGUCCGGAUUGCACU